GAUGAACGCUAGCGGCAGGCCUAACACAUGCAAGUCGAGGGGUAACUAGAGUGAUAGCAAUAUUACUUUGGCUAGACCGGCGCACGGGUGCGUAACACGUAUGCAACCUACCUUAUACUGGGGAAUAACUUCGAGAAAUCGGCGCUAAUACCCCAUAACAUUGCGAAGAGGCAUCUCUUUGCAAUUAAAGCUCCGGCGGUAUAAGAUGGGCAUGCGUCCAAUUAGCUAGUUGGUGAGGUAACGGCUCACCAAGGCUACGAUUGGUAGGGGUUCUGGGAGGAUGAUCCCCCACACUGGGACUGAGACACGGACCAGACUCCUACGGGAGGCAGCAGUGAGGAAUAUUGCGCAAUGGACGAAAGUCUGACGCAGCCAUGCCGCGUGCAGGAUGACGGCCCUAUGGGUUGUAAACUGCUUUUGUACGGGAAUAAACCCUUCUACGUGUAGGAGGCUGAAGGUACCGUAAGAAUAAGCACCGGCUAACUCCGUGCCAGCCGCCGCCGUAA
rnacentral:rRNA from 1 species